AUCUCUUCUUGGCCUUCUAGUUAAGAUCAAGUGUACCAUCUGUUCUUAUCAGUUUAAUAUCUGAUACAUCCUCGAUGAGAGGACUUUAUACUCAAUGGAUUUUUGGGCAUUGAAGUUGGACUCGAAGCUUGAUCCCUCUGCUUCACAAAUCAUCCCAGUAUUGCAGUUCCUCUGGGAACGAUGGAUCAACU
rnacentral:snRNA from 1 species